CCUGAUAAAAGAGGUUUACAACCCGUAGGCAUUCUUCCCUCACGCGGUAUUGCUCCGUCAGGCUUUCGCCCAUUGCGGAAAAUUCCCA
rnacentral:rRNA from 1 species